GGCCCACAACAGAAGCCCUGUCUGGACCAGUGAGAGUAAAUGGAAACUUUGUCUAUAUCAGAAAGGGCCGAACCCAAGAAUGACAGAGGGAUGUCUGAAGCACAACUUUGAUAUGGCACAAAGCUCUAAACUGAGGACAGUCAUCCCUACAAACACCUUCCAGCCUCUGUGCCUCAACGCUCUUGCAGAAAAAUAUGGAUGGAAGCAACUCCUAAAAUCCCCAACCACAGGAAACAAAAUUGGUGUUUUUCCAAGUUAAGUACUAUAACAGAGUGAAACAUACAUGUUUAAUUUGAAAAUGUUGAUUCCAAAUGGAUUUUUCUUUUGAAAAAACUUCCCCCAAGCAAGUCAAUAUUUGUAAUCAAAUUGAAAUUUCCUGUGGGAAUUAUUUAUUUUCAUGAGGUCUAAUUUUUACAGGGGAAAAUUCUGCACAGGAAGGUUUAAGUUGCUGUAAACCAGCGUUAGGAAUCUGGGUGGUAGGAGGGGGGCUGGGAAAUCCCACUCUGUGCUGCAAAGUGUCACCACUUCCCUGUGAUGGAGGUGAUGUGAUGAAAAAGUUGGAACUCCUCUUUGAAGAGGGAAAAGCAUGAGCAGAAAGGUGAGAAAUUGGGAAGGAAGGAGCAUUCAGUUCGCUAGAUUUUUCCUCCCCCCUUUAUUUCUUGAGAACACAGCAGUGUGGGAUAGGACUCACCACGAGCAACGCUAGAGAUGGAAGUGAGAUACCCAAGAUGGCUGUUCUGAGCCUCCUGUGCUGGGGCGCCCUGUAGUUCACCUACCCUUAUUCUGCCAUCUGUUGGAAGAAGUGGGUCAUGCCAUUGACUUCAGUUGCCUUGAGGAGACACGGGGAUAAGAGCAACUGGUCCACGUCCACUGUAACCAUACAAAUCCCACCCACAGUGCUUGACGUGUUCAGGGGUACAGGGGGAGUGUGCAACCCUGUGCCUUGUGCAGCCGUUACUACACUGAUGGGACUCUCAGCCAGUUCUCCAAACCUCAUGAGAAGAGAGCAUGUUGGUCUUCCAGCAUCUUCAAGGAAGCCCUUCAAAGACAGUUGUCAUGGCUUCAUCCUAAGGGCGAUUUUCUUGUAGAACCUGUGUCCACUGUAGAGCAACGACUGUGGCUAAUGAUGUGCAUAAUUUACAUUAUUAUACCUUUCAUUUUUGUAUUAUGAUAAAUCACCUACCUUCCCAUUUCUUUUUAUUGUGAUGUGCUGGGAACACAAUAUAGCAGGAGGAAAACAAUACAGCGCUGCCCCUGUCAGUCUCAAACACAGAAGCAGCACACCCAUGCUACAAACACUCACAGAUGCACAGCACCGUAUCAGAUUAUUAGCUCCAAGGCAACUGUCAGCAUGCAGUUUUAUUGGAAAUGAAAACAAGGUAAUUCAAGAUUUAUUUUCUCUCUAAGGAAGUGCCAGGAGGCAGGAGCCAGCCCCCGGCAUCUACCGUAAAACACCCGGCGCAUGGUAACGUGCUGCUCCUCAAGCAGAGCUCCUGGACUGGGGAUUUUUUGAGUGAUCUCUUCCAAAAGAGGAGAAUUCUCCUCCUUGUCCCCAGACUGUAUCCUGAAGGGAGUGAUGUAGAUUGAGUGACUUGAGUUUUGCUUUACCUAAAGGGAGAUAAAUGCACCCUACACUACUGUGGCUGCAGGCACAGCUCCUGGGAGACCUCGGGUGGCUCUUAAUCACAUAUCCUUGAAGCUUCAGAAACAUACCCUGAUUAUUUUCCGGCUCAAAGCAUUCAUUGCCUCCAGGAUAUUACCAUCUUUGCCCCCUUUCUAAUGGUUGAGGGUGAACUGAUUACCAAAUUAAAACCCUUAUUAGCAGCUAUCUUGGUAUGUCGUGCCCUGAUUUUAUUGCUGUGCCCAAAAGUGAUACGUGCCUGGGCACCAAGACAGGCACAUGCUGUGCCCAAGCUGAAAAUAUUUAGGAACUGGUAGGAAAAUCACAGGAAAUAUUUCUGAGUGAUUAAUUUAGAGUCGUUGAAGACCGUUCUAAAAGAUGCUCUAAAUGUGUUCAUACCAGCUGCACUGGUUAAAAAGGCAAUGGAAAAAUACACCUUGGUUAGAUGAAAGGUGAAAGAAGCAAUAAAAACGCAUAAAACAACCUAUAUAAUAAAUGGGAUAAGAGCAAACCAACAGCAACAAUUAUUGGUCAGAAGGCAAGAGAUGCGAACAGUGCUUGACAAUAAGCUGUGUCAUGAAAAGAGCCUUAAUGGAGAUGGAGAGGCAGCCUCCACGUCCGGGUGUUUGGGUUCGCAGCGAUGCUGGCAGUCCUGCAAAGAGGGAGCCCAGCAGGGCUGCUCCGGUGUGUCGGUAAUUUCAAAUGGAGGCUUGCUGUCAUGUUUUGGACUGUGCUGAACUGUUAAUGAAACAUGCCUGCCUCCCCCUAGGUGUGUGUAUUUCUUUAAAAUCUGAAAAACAAAGCUUGGAAACCUAACUCUUCAGACUAAAAUGAGAAAAAAAAGAAAAAAAAAAAAAGCUUCUUUUCUUAGUGUGUCAUCAAUCUUUUUUAAAGGUCUUCCCAGCUCUAUCAUCACUCAGAGAUGCAGGAAGAAGAUCCUGCAGGGCACUGUGGAAAGAUCCGCAUCCAGCAGUACUGUUUGGACAGUCGUACUCGACCAUCAUUUCCCAAACGUGAGAUGUUCAACUGCUGCUCAGGAUGUCCCCACCAAGGGGAGCAUCCCUCCUUGGACACUGAUCUCUGCAGUCCUGAUGCUGAAUUAUUCUGGGAAGGAGUAUCAGGGGAACAAAUUAGUGAGGUGUUCUUACCAGAAAAUCCCGUGGCUACAGCUACCUGCAAGCAACAGGGCCCAGAGACUUGUACUUCCCUAUUCUGAUGCCUAAGCUUGAGGUUUGCCAGCACCUCUUGGUGAGCAGGAAGCUUCCAGCUGUGUUAGCUCUUCUGACAUGGCAAUUGCUCCAAAGGAGUUUCUCCAUCCUCCCUAUCUUUGCCUUAGUGGAAGGCUGAGAAGCCCUUGGCUGACAGCCAUUCCAAUACAUCUUGCAGGUAAUCCAUAGUUUCCUGGGUCAGAGCAGCUUCUCAGCAGCAAUCCUCUACUCUUAAAGUCAGUCCCCUUUCCUAGGUGGGAUACUUCUGCAGCACAAUCCCGUGUUCUGCCCUGGGUGAAGUUAGCCAGGACUUUGCACUCUCAAGGUCUUCAUCCAAAGCAGAAGUAACACAGCAAAAUGGACGUCAUGCUCAACCAAGAAGUAGUUGACACUAUCAGGACUUGGAGGAAUUAAAAUAAAUGACCAAAGUAAUUUUUGGCAGAGGACUCGAUUUCAAAGGACAAUGCACUGUCCAUUCUUCCCAGGGGAUGUUCUGGGAUAGACCUGCAUGAGUAACCUACAGCCAUUUUGAGCCAUCCCCUACUGCCCUCAGCAAGAACUUUCUGACCAAAACUUCAGGUGGAACGUACCAGCUAAGUGUGCUCAAGAUAUAUCACCCAAAGGACUGACACCACCAGCAGGACCAAAAGGAUGAUGUGUUCAGCAUGCUCAGGUUGGGCUUCGUGCCCAAAGGCAGCUGGUUUGUCCUCAUGGGGCAAGUCCUGCAUUGCCCAGGAAACACACUGUGCAAAUCCAUCGUGGAGGCUAGAACACAUCCAUGCAUGGAUCCUGAAGACUAACCUUGUCCCCUUCUCCAGGUGCCUGGGAACCUUGGCCACACACACGUACAGACCAGCCAGGUGCUGCAGGAAGCAGCAGGAUGAUAGAUGGCAGCUGCAAGCUGAGAGGUACAUGCACAAAACCCAUUUUUUUCUCCGCAAGGUUCAAAUAUUUUUGCUCCAUCUGAGGCUUGGAUCCAGGUUCUCCUGCAUGGCAGUCAGAGAUGCUGGAAAAGGCUCAACAUUAGAGCUCAGGAAUGGGGGCUCAGGUUCUGUUCCCCAGCUUAGGGCAGUGCUGGUAAAGAUCUGCCCUCACCCAGGCGCCUGGGAAGCUUUUGGCUGCUGCUGGCAUUAGUGCAGAAAGCAAGAAGACAUUUACUUCCAGGAACAGAUGCAAACACAGGGAAUUGCCAAUUGGCCAAAAUCAAAUACAACCUGACCUCUGAUGAUCUGCAGCCUUACUACUUUCAAACAACACUGCACUCAAUAUUGGCAAUAUAAUAGUUUACCUUGGAGACCCAAGGGCUAAAGGAGAAAUGAAACCUGAAGCUGCUGGAGAUGUUGCUUUUCCACUGUUUCUAUUACCGAUAACAGGCCAGCAAAACCCCACGAGGUUCUUGAGCUCUAGGAGAGCCUGCCUGCACCUCCUCCCCAAGACUUCGUGCCAAAAUACCCCAAAACUUAAGAGCUGGGCUUCAUCAGAGCACCUGAUAAAUAUAGAAAGUAGAGAAUGAUCUGGAAUAGUGAUGUUCUACCCUGGGAGGAAGGUCCUUUCUUUUGGGUUUCCUUUCAGUCCUGCAACCUCCCAGCAAUCCCCUGGGUAAUCACAAAGCCUUGCUGCCCCCAGAAAAGCCCCUUUCUUUCCUUUGAAGGGGAGCUGACACCCACAGGGAACAAACCCUAAGUCAGAAAUAAUGGGAGUCCUUUGAAAAAAACCAAAAACAUCCGAGUCUGAAUAUAACCACAAGGAAAAAAAUGGAAACUUAUCUGCAAUAUGCACCCCCUCCCAAGCAAAUUAAUACCCUGGACCAGAGCCUUGUCCAGAAGCAGUGUAAAUAUCUCAGCAACUCAUUACCUUGUUAAUUGGAUCACUCCAAGCUUUUUGGAACCAGUCUAAAGCAC
rnacentral:lncRNA from 1 species